rnacentral:ncRNA from 1 species
CGAUUGGGGUGCUUUUCCGACUUGAUGGAAUUGCUGAGAAAACACCCGUGAACCUGAUCUGGGUAAUACCAGCGUAGGAAGGAUUAU